rnacentral:lncRNA from 10 species
UGGACCGUAGGGGUGAAGCAGGGGAGAGAUAUUUCAGAGAGAGGGAAUUGCAGGGAAAGACUUGGAAAUGGCAAAGCCCAAGCCAUAUAUACAGGAAGUAGUUCCUUGUGCUGGGUGAUUGAAGCAGAGAGAAUGUUAAGGAAAGAAAUUCUAACUAAAAAGCGGGGACAAUAGAUGGACCAGAUGGGAGAGACGUGAAGUUCAUGCUAAGGAAAGUUCAGGGAUGGGGAAGGUUCCGAAGAGCAUCGUUCAUUUAUUCCGAAGAUAAAACAAAUUAUUUCCUCAGGAUGCUUCAGUUGGUUGCUGGUCUAGCCUAGGCCUGCCUGGGCAAAAGAGGAGCGAGACUCCGUCUCAAAAAACAAACAAACAAACAAACAAACAAAAACAGAAACUGAUUGUGGUCUAUUUAAAAAGCAAAGGGGAUGAAAUGCACUGACUGGCCAGGCCUAGGCCAUGUGCCCAUCCCUGGUGCCGAGAAUUAAGUCAUCCAGACUUUAUAAAAUCUGUUCUUCAUUGUACAUGGGAUUAUUAAAAUACCAGUAAGGAUUUAUUAAAAUACCAAUAAGGAAAGUAAGCUUCAUUCUUUAUUUUUCAAUCAAUUAUCUUGAAUUAAAGAAGGCUGUGGGGCCGGCUGCGGUGGCUCAAGCCUGUAAUCCCAGCACUUUGGGAGGCCGAGGUGAGAGAAUCACCUGAGAUCAGGAGUUCGAGACCAGCCUGGCUGACAUAGUGAAACCCCGUCUUUACUAAAAAAUAUAAAAAUUAACCGGGCAUGGUGGCCGGUGCCUGUAAUCCCAGCUACUCGAGAGGCUGAGGCAGGAGAAUCACUUGAACCCGGGAGGCAGAGGUUGCAGUGAGCUGAGAUCACGCCAUUGCACUCCAGCCUGGGGGAUGAGAGAGACUUCGUCUCGAAAGAAAGAAAGAAAGAAAGAAAGAGAGAGAGAGAGAGAGAGAGAGGGAGAGAGAGAGAGAGAGAGAGAGAGAGAGAAAGAAAGAAAGAAAAGCAAGAAAGCUCUAAAGAUGAGUAAAGAUUUGCUUAUUUUUCAUUGUAUACGUGGAAUAUGGAUUCUUAAAUAUGCAGGAUUCACACAUGGUGAGGGUAUACAUUUUACUAAAGGACUGUAUAUUAGUGAAAUUUGAUAUAGUAUUCUAGACAUGUCUAGAGGGAUACAUAACAGGCAUACACUAGGAAAGCCAAAACUAAAACUAAAAAAAAAAAAAAAAAACCUCAAUCACAUGGCAUAAAAAGUCAUUGCUGUGUUUUACAAGACAGUCCUGUAGUCAUUCAAAACUGUUUCCCCAUUUGAGUCACUAGUUACUCAAUAUAUUUUCUCCCAUGAAUGUCUGUAAUAUGUAUUUUAGCAAACAGAAGAGUAUCAAGAAACAAUGUAGUGUAGUGAAACAAACAUGGGUUUUGAAGUUAGACAAACUUGGGUUUCAAUCUGAUGUUUGUUUGUUUUUUUGAUAUGAGAUGAGAUCUGUAUUAGUCCAUUCUCAACGCUGCUGAUAAAGACAUACCUGAGACUGGGUAAUUUAUAAAGGAAAGAGGCUUAAUUGACUCACAGUUCAGCAUGGCUGAGGAGGCCUCAGGAAACUUACAAUUAUGGCGGACGGGAUGCAAACUCGUCCUUCUUCACAUGGUGGCAGCAAGGAGAAGUGCGAGCAAAGUGGGAAAAACCCCUUAUAAAACCAUCAGAUCUUGUGAGGACUCACUUCGCUAUCAUGAGAACAGCAUGGGGGGACUGCCUCCAUCAUCUAGUCACCUCCUACGAGGUCCCUCCCCCAGUGCAUGGGGAUUACAAUUUGGAUUACAAUUCAAGAUGAGAUUUGUGUGGGGACCCAGAGCGAGACCUUGUCAGGAUCUUACUGUGUUGCCUCUCUGGGCUCAAGCGAUCCUGGUACUUCAGCCUCCUGAGCAGUUGGAAUUUCAGGGGCACACCACUGUGCCUGGCUUCCAGUCUGAUCUUAAAGGAUAUGACC